UACGUAGGGUGCGAGCGUUGUCCGGAAUUAUUGGGCGUAAAGAGCUCGUAGGCGGUUUGUCACGUCUGCUGUGAAAUCCCGAGGCUCAACCUCGGGCCUGCAGUGGGUACGGGCAGACUGGAGUGCGGUAGGGGAGAUUGGAAUUCCUGGUGUAGCGGUGGAAUGCGCAGAUAUCAGGAGGAACACCGAUGGCGAAGGCAGAUCUCUGGGCCAUUACUGACGCUGAGGAGCGAAAGCGUGGGGAGCGAACAGG
rnacentral:rRNA from 1 species